rnacentral:rRNA from 1 species
CUUGAAGCUACUAAGAGUCCAUGGUGGAUGCCUUGGCGCUAGACGGCGAUGAAGGACGUGGUAAGCUGCGAUAAGCCCCGGGGAGUUGCAAACAAAUGUCGAUCCGGGGAUUUCCGAAUGGGGCAACCCGGCGGGUUAAUCACCCGUCAACCCUUGGCUGAAUACAUAGGCCUUGGGUGGCGAACGCAGGGAACUGAAACAUCUUAGUACCUGCAGGAAAGAAAAGUAAAAACGACUCCCUCAGUAGCGGCGAGCGAACGGGGAAUAGCCCAAACCAGUCGAUGUGCUACAGCCAGCACGCUAUGCAUCGAUGGGGUUGUGGGAUCUGGCAGGUUCCAGUGCUGACGGAACCAGGGAGUUACAAAGUCUCAUGUUAGCGGAAUCCUUUGGAAAGAGGGACCGCAGAAGGUGAUAGUCCUGUACGCGAAAACGNNNNNNNNNCGUUGCAUGACUGGGGUUGCGGGAUUUGCUGUGGUAGCGGUGCAGUGCUACCGGAGAGUUACAAAUUAUCUGCUUAGUUGAAUUGGCAUGGAAAGGCCAGCCGGAGAAGGUGAUAGCCCUGUAGAGUAAAAGUACGAUGACUUUCUAAGCAAACUCCCAAGUACUGCGGGACACGUGGAACCCUGCAGGAAUCUGGGUGGACCAUCACCCAAGGCUAAAUACUCUCUCGUGACCGAUAGUGAACUAGUACCGUGAGGGAAAGGUGAAAAGUACCCCUGGCGGGGAGUGAAAUAGUACCUGAAACCAUACGCUUACAAACUGUCGGAGUCCCGACUUGUCGGGAUGACGGCGUGCCUUUUGCAUAAUGAGCCUACGAGUUGGUGUCUGUGGCAAGCUUAAGUCCUUCUGGGACGGAGGCGUAGCGAAAGCGAGUCCGAACAGGGCGAUUCAGUCGCUGGGUGUAGACCCGAAACCAGAUGAUCUACCCAUGGCCAGGAUGAAGGUUGGGUAACACCAGCUGGAGGUCCGAACCCACUACCGUUGAAAAGGUAGGGGAUGAGCUGUGGGUAGGGGUGAAAGGCCAAACAAAUCUGGAGAUAGCUGGUUCUCUCCGAAAGCUAUUUAGGUAGCGCGUCGUGUAUCACUUCUGGGGGUAGAGCACUGUAAUGGUUGUGGGGGUCAUUGCGACUUACCGCGCCAUAGCAAACUCCGAAUACCGGAAAGUGCGAGCACGGCAGACAGACUUGGGGUGCUAACGUCCUGAGUCGAGAGGGAAACAACCCAGACCGCCGAUUAAGGUCCCGAAGACACAGUUAAGUGGGAAACGAGGUGGGAAGGCUUAGACAGCCAGGAGGUUGGCUUAGAAGCAGCCAUCCUUUAAAGAAAGCGUAAUAGCUCACUGGUCGAGUCGUCCUGCGCGGAAAAUGUAACGGGGCUCAAACUGUGCACCGAAAUCGCGGAUAUGUACUUGUACAUAUGGUAGGAGAGCGUUCCGUAGGCCGUUGAAGGUGGGGUGUGAACCCUGCUGGAGGUAUCGGAAGUGCGAAUGCUGACAUGAGUAGCGAUAAAGCGGGUGAAAGGCCCGCUCGCCGAAAGCCCAAGGUUUCCUGCGCAACGUUCAUCGGCGCAGGGUGAGUCGGCUCCUAAGGCGAGGCCGAAAGGCGUAGUCGAUGGGAAACAGGUUAAUAGUCCUGUACCUUUAUGCAAUGCGAUGGGGGGACGGAGAAGGUUAGGUGGGCCGGGUGUUGGACGUCCUGGUUCAAGCGUGUAGGCGUGCCCGAUAGGCAAAUCCGUUGGGCUUAGCCGAGGCGUGAUGACGCAAGACUCUUUUGAGUCCCAAGCCACUGAGACCCCGCUUCCAGGAAAAGCCUCUAAGCUUCAGUUGCAUGAAGACCGUACCGCAAACCGACACAGGUGGGCAGGAUGAAGAUUCUAAGGCGCUUGAGAGAACUCAGGAGAAGGAACUCGGCAAAUUAGCACCGUAACUUCGGGAGAAGGUGCGCCCCGGUAGUGUGUAGCGGCUUGCCCGUGAAGCGCGAUGGGGUUGCAGUGAAUUGGUGGCUGCGACUGUUUAAUAAAAACACAGCACUCUGCAAAGGCGAAAGCCGACGUAUAGGGUGUGACGCCUGCCCGGUGCCGGAAGGUUAAGUGAUGGGGUGCAAGCUCUUGAUCGAAGCCCCGGUAAACGGCGGCCGUAACUAUAACGGUCCUAAGGUAGCGAAAUUCCUUGUCGGGUAAGUUCCGACCUGCACGAAUGGCGUAACGACCGGAGCACUGUCUCAACAAGGGACUCGGCGAAAUUGAAGUAGCGGUGAAGAUGCCGCUUACCCACAGCUGGACGGAAAGACCCCGUGGACCUUUACUGCAGCUUGACAUUGGGUUUUGGCAAUGCAUGUGUAGGAUAGGUGGGAGGCUACGAAGCGGAGACGCCAGUCUUCGUGGAGCCAACCUUGAAAUACCACCCUUGUGUUGUUGGGAUUCUAACCUGGAGCCGUUAUCCGGUUCGGGAACAGUGUCUGGUGGGCAGUUUGACUGGGGCGGUCGCCUCCUAAAAUGUAACGGAGGCUCCCAAAGGUUCUCUCAGCGCGGUCGGCAAUCGCGCGUCGAGCGUAAAGGUAUAAGAGAGCUUAACUGCGAGACUGACAAGUCGAGCAGAUGGGAAACCAGGGCUUAGUGAUCUGGCGGUUCCGCAUGGAAGGGCCGUCACUCAAAGGAUAAAAGGUACCCCGGGGAUAACAGGCUUAUAACCCCCAAGAGUUCACAUCGACGGGGUUGUUUGGCACCUCGAUGUCGGCUCGUCUCAUCCUGGGGCUGGAGAAGGUCCCAAGGGUUUGGCUGUUCGCCAAUUAAAGAGGCACGCGAGCUGGGUUUAGAACGUCGUGAGACAGUUCGGUCCCUAUCCGCUGUGGGCGCAGGAGAUUUGCGAGAAGCUGUCCCUAGUACGAGAGGACCGGGAUGGACGAACCUCUAGUGCACCUGUUGUCACGCCAGUGGCAUGGCAGGGUAGCUAUGUUCGGAAGGGAUAACCGCUGAAAGCAUCUAAGUGGGAAGCCCCUCUCAAGAUAAGAUCUCCCUGGGACUUCGGUCCCCUGAAGACUCCUUGAAGAACACAAGGUCGAUAGGCCGGAGGUGUAAGUGUGGCAACACAUUCAGCCGACCGGUACUAAUAAGUCGUGAGGCUUCAUGUU